CUGUGCUUGUCAGCCCGAGCUUCUUGAGACUUGCAUGGCAAAGGGUGAGACAGGAACGCGGCAGGCUUCAGCCUUUGCAUGCAGAAAAGGGGGCUUGUGCUGAAGAAGGUGCGGGCAACCUUCAGGAGGGGGACGAAGAGACUUUACAAAAGAUUAUGCGCUCUCGCUAUCACGCAGGUAACAUCUGAGCAAUUAGACAUACAUACUGAGUAAGUAAAACCACCUGUGCGUUUGUCCAAGAUGCUUUAGUAGGAAGGAAAAUGUGGGCUGCACAUGUCUUACACUUAUCCUUACUGUGACUUUGAAUGUAUCCAUGAUCAAGGGCAGAGUUGGAGGACACUGAGCCUCUUUCUGUGUUGGCAAUAGGUCGACCAUCAAAGGGAAUUCUGUGCCAUUUGCCCAGCAGAGAUAUAAAUCUUCCUUCACUCACGUUAGUCUUGACAGGAAGAAUUCACUAUAUCCUGAAGAACAUUGUUGCUGUUUAGGGACAAUGGGGAUCAAACUAAGGACCCACAUCUGCUGGCUAAGUUUUCUACUAUCCCAGGCCUCAGAACCCAAGGAACAGAACCAACAUCUGUCUGUAUCCUAAAGUCCUGCAAACACAUGACAGAGAGACUCUGUAGAUGUCACUAAGUAUCUUGUAAUGGACAAGUGAUCCCUAAUUCUCAAGGUGGCCUGUUAGAAUAGUCACCAGAGUUUUUAGAACUGAGGAAGAGCAAGAGGAAGGGGGAGCAGUAGAGAGAGCCACAUGACAUGAGAAGGUCCCGACUCAACUUUGCGGCUUUGAAAAUGAGGGAAGGGUCUCAGGAGCAAGGGAUGAAACCAUAACAGGCCAGGAGAGCAACUCUCCCCCAAAGACUCCGGGAAGAACUGAAGCCCUCUGGAUUCCAAGAACUUAGCCCUUUGAGACCCACCCCA
rnacentral:lncRNA from 1 species